CCAUUCCCAUUUGCUGUGGGGGAGGCCUUUGGAGGACUUGAGCUGCCUGGGGAGGUGGCAUGUUUGGAGGUGGUGGCCUGAAUUGCAUUGGAGGUGGAGGAAUACCUAGUGGCGCCAUCGUUUGACCUGGCUGUGGGGGCUGAGCCUGCCAAGCUGGUUGUCCAGCUACCUGCAUUGCAGGGAAGGCUGCAUUUGGUGGGGGUGGUGGGCGGAGUGCUGGAAUUGGAGCUGGAGCAACAGCACCAUUUGCAAAUGGGCGUGGAGGAACUGGUGCACCAACUGUACCAUUGGCUUGAGGCAUGCUUGGAAGAGUUGGAGGCCCACUGGCAAACAAAGUGUGCGGCCUGCUCUUUUGGGAACUCGGAUUGCUUGCAGCCAAAACUCUCUCUGCUGGGGUACCAUGGCGCU
rnacentral:misc_RNA from 1 species